rnacentral:rRNA from 1 species
GAUGUGAGCGAUAACACGUUGAACGCACCAGUUCUCAAUAGAUCACUGAAGUUAAACAAUGCUCUGCGUGGUUAGUAUCCAGAUGUGGUUAGUGAUCAUCUGGCCACUCGCGUGGCUGGCUUUU